UACCAGCACCCCGAGUGGUCGGGACGAUUAUUGGGCCUAAAGCAUCCGUAGCCGGUUUUACAAGUCCCCCGUUAAAUCCAGCUGCUUAACAGAUGGGCUGCGGAGGAUACUAUAAGACUAGGAGGCAGGAGAGGCAAGCGGUACUCGAUGGGUAGGGGUAAAAUCCGUUGAUCCAUUGAAGACCACCAGUGGCGAAGGCGGCUUGCCAGAACGCGCUCGACGGUGAGGGAUGAAAGCUGGGGGAGCAAACCGG
rnacentral:rRNA from 1 species